rnacentral:rRNA from 1 species
CCUACGGGAGGCUGCAGUGAGGAAUAUUGGUCAAUGGGCGGAAGCCUGAACCAGCCAAGUCGCGUGAGGGAAUAAGGCCCUACGGGUCGUAAACCUCUUUUGCCGGGGAGCAACGCCGGGUACGUGUCCCCGCCCGGAGAGUACCCGGAGAAAAAGCAUCGGCUAACUCCGUGCCAGCAGCCGCGGUAGUACGGAGGAUGCGAGCGUUAUCCGGAUUUAUUGGGUUUAAAGGGUGCGUAGGCGGGCUUUUAAGUCAGCGGUAAAAUUGCGGGGCUCAACCCCGUCCGGCCGUUGAAACUGGUGGCCUUGAGUGGGCGAGAAGUAGGCGGAAUGCGUGGUGUAGCGGUGAAAUGCAUAGAUAUAACGCAGAACCCCGAUUGCGAAGGCAGCCUGCCGGCGCCCGACUGACGCUGAGGCACGAAAGUGUGGGGAUCGAACAGGAUUAGAUACCCGUGUAGUC